AAGCCCACCUUUGCUGCCUGGUAAGGCAGAAGAACAGUGGUUGAAGGUUCCUACAGUUUUGCUGAUGGAAGUAAUGGAUGUCAGGUUGUACAGGACCAGAAAUACCUGAAUCCAAGGCCUUGCUGUACCAUAGCGUAAGAUCUUAAAGCCAAGGGAAAAUAGCAGAUUGCAAGGACAAGAAAGAAGGACUUCCUCUAUGUGUGUGCCAGAAGCCAAUUUUCUUCCUCAAGGCACUCUUAAGGUUUCAGGACAGCUGGAUGACCCAAGUGAAAUGCACCCUUCACCCUGUGUCCUUCCCAGCUGAGGGUGAAUACAGGCAAUAAUGACAAUUCUUCUCACAACCCUGACCAGGUAGAAGAAACUGGUUGCAAGCGUAGAUGAUGCCAGCUUCCAAAAGGUCCAUUGUGCAUGUUCCCCAGGAGGUGAAUGGGGAUGCUGACAAUCUACCCGGAGCACUAAGCAGCUGGGGGUGAAAAAAUCCUGAGGCAAAAUGCUUAAAAAUUCUCUUUAUAAAAAGACUGGUAUCAUGUAUAGCCUUUACAUUUUUAAUAACAAUCUGUAAAACUUGCUAAGGAAGCUUUUUGAAUACCAUGAUUUACAGCAUCUUCAUGAACAUC